CCUACGGGAGGCUGCAGUGAGGAAUAUUGGUCAAUGGGCGCGAGCCUGAACCAGCCAAGUAGCGUGAAGGAUGACUGCCCUACGGGUUGUAAACUUCUUUUAUAAAGGAAUACAGUGAGGCACGUGUGCCUUUUUGUAUGUACUUUAUGAAUAAGGAUCGCCUAACUCCGCGCCAGCAGCCUCGGUAAUACGGAGGAUCCGAGCGUUAUCCGGAUUUAUUGGGUUUAACGGGAGCGUAGAUGGGUUGUUAAGUCAGUUGUGAAAGUUUGCGGCUCAACCGUAAAAUUGCAAUUGAUACUGGCAGUCUUGAGUACAGUUGAGGUAGGCGGAAUUCGUGGUGUAGCGGUGAAAUGCUUAGAUAUCACUAAGAACUCCGAUUGCGAAGGCAGCUUACUAAACUGCCACUGACAUUGAUGCUCGAAAGUGUGGGUAGCAAACAGGAUUAGAUACCCCAGUAGUC
rnacentral:rRNA from 1 species